UCCUCAUUGAGGCCAUCUGAGAAUAGGGGCCAUCUGAGAAUGCAGGGGAGUGGACAUCGUGUGCAGACAGGGAGUCUGAUUGUGAAUGCCGCGGGGCUGAGCCCUGCGCCGACCUGGUCUGCUGGUGCUACCAGGCUUGAACGGUCUUCAGAUCCACUGCUAUUAGGCAAAUUACCUGGCUCCCGCUGAACCCCAGCACCUAGAACUAUGUCACACUCAUAGUAGGUCGCCGCAUUGGUUGAACAAAUGAUUUUGAAAGAAUGGAUGGCUUCCUCUGUGCCUGCAUUUCCUCAGAAGGUUGUAACAAAGAUUAAAUAGGAAAAUUCGUGGAAAGUUCAAU